rnacentral:sRNA from 1 species
GCCGGAUGCGGUGGCGCAUGCCUGUAAUCCCAGUGUCUCUGGAGGCUGAGACAGGAGGAUUGUGAGUUUAGAUCCAGCCUCAGCAAAAGCAAGGUACUAAGCAACUCAGUGAGACCCUGUCUCUA